UACGUAGGUGGCAAGCGUUGUCCGGAAUUAUUGGGCGUAAAGAGCUCGUAGGCGGCCUGUUGCGUCCGCUGUGAAAUCCCGGGGCUUAACCCCGGGCGUGCAGUGGAUACGGGCAGGCUGGAGGCAGGCAGGGGAGAACGGAAUUCCCGGUGUAGCGGUGAAAUGCGUAGAUAUCUGGAGGAACACCGGUGGCGAAGGCGGCAUCCUGGACCGGUAUUGACGCUGAGGCGCGAAAGCCAGGGGAGCAAACGGG
rnacentral:rRNA from 1 species